UUUGAUAGCUCAGUUGGUAGAGCAUGAGACUCUUAAUUUCAGGGUAAUGGGUUCAUGCUCCACGUUGGUCAAAA